UAUAUUAUUUGGAUACAUGAAUAUUUUGUUCGGUAUGUCUCUUUGAUUUAUUGAAGAAAUUUGCAUAUUUGGUUUAUAAGGGGUAUGAUCAAAUGUUUACAAUAAAGUAUCAUAUUCGAACUGUAAAUUAUUUUUUAGAAUAAGAUAAUCACUUUGUAAGUGAAAUAUGAUAUAUCCUACCAAAUCAUGAAAAAUAAAAUCUUUGAAGAUGCAAAAAAAGUAAAUUAAACUUCUUACUUAUCAUGAUAUUAGGAAAUUCUUAUAUGAAAUAAGAUAAUUUAUUCUGCCAUCCAAACAUGACCUAAUUGGACCCAGGAAAUAAGAAAAUUGUACUUAUUCUUGAAAUAAGCAGUUCUUAGUUCGUUUGGCACAAUUUAUUUUGUCAUCCAAACGUAAAAAAAGAAUAAGUAAGAACUGCUUGCUUAAUGAAAAUUGGAUUGCUCCCGGGAAUAAGAAAAAUAACUUUUGUAUAAAAAUUGGAUUGUUUCAGAAAAUAAGAAAAAUGACGUUUGAAUAGAUAAGAUGGAAUAAGAAAAAUAGUGGGUAGUUAUAAAUAAAAAAAAAUGAUGAUAUUACUCCUCUCAUUAAAUUUGAAUUUGAAUUUUUAAAUUUAUAUUUUAAUUUUCAAAUUUUAAUUUUUAAUUUUUAAAUUUCAAUAUUUAAAUUUAAAAUAUAAAAUUUAAAAUCUCAAAUUUUAAAAUUUUAAAAUUUAAAUUUCAAUAUUUAAAUUUAAAAUAUAAAAUUUAAAAUC
rnacentral:lncRNA from 1 species